ensembl:lncRNA
CCUAUUUCUAAGACACGAUAAUUUCUAUUGAUCUAUCUUUAAACUUACUGACUCUUUCAUCUGGCAUCUCCAUUCUACUCUUGAGCCUACUCAGUAAAUUUUUAUCACUUAAUGUAUUUUUCAGUUCAAAUCUUCACAUUUUAUUCCUUUUUUAAAAAGAACUAUAGUUCCUUUUCCUCUACUGAGAAUGCCUCUUCUCUUCAAAAGUAUUUGCAUUUUCUACAUAGAGCAAUGGUUAUAAUAGCUGUUUUAUUUUGUUUUUUUAUUGUAAUCAAUUGCUAUUUCCCCAAUACAUUUUUUUCUUUUCUACUGUACAGCAUGGUGACCAGGUUACACAUACAUGUACACAUUCUUUUUUCUCACAUUAUCAUGCUGUUUUAAAGUUCUCCUAAUUCCAGCAUCUGACUCAACUCAGAGUUGGCAUUUAUUUUUUCUCUCCAAUUUUCAUCAUUGUUAUAUGUGAAAUAAUUUUAGGUGGUAUCCUAAACAUUUUUAAUAUUAUGUUGUGAGACUCUGGAGUCUAUUAAAAUCCUCUGGAAAGUGCUAUAUGUUUACAGCAUGCAAUAAACCCUGCUAGAUUCAGACCAUAAGCACAACCUGACUUCUCACCAAUAAUUCCAUUGUCAGUUAAGUUUUUAAAUUUUACUGUGCUUCUUUGGGUCUACCCUGCAUACAGGCAGUCCAGGAGUUAACUUGGGCCUUGUGCAGUAGUCUAUACCAUUUUCCAGUUCUCAAAGACUUAGCUGUGGUACUUUGCAUAUGCUCUUCACAUUCACAGUUUGACAAUGAAUUCAGUUCACAAAAAGAUUUAGGGAAUCUCCUGUCUGGUAUUUCCCUCAUUCAACAUCCUUUUUUUCUGAUUCUGCUAGCCUGAAAAUCUCAGUUCCUCUCAGCGUUUUAGCCUUCUGCACUUUGCACAAUUUUAGCAGACUGCAACCAUCUUCAAGAAAAUAAGAGAGAGAGUAUAAUGGGAUUUCGCAUACACUCAUUAGACCACAGGGGCCAUUUCCCCCUGUCCCUCUGACCAAUAAGAAAGGUAUUCCAAUCAGAAUUUUAGGUCCCUCUCUGCCAGCACUGCCACUACACAGUAGCAGUGAAGCUCGGUGACUGAGACCACCCUUCAAUUAAAUCUAGGAGAUAAAGGAGGGAAAAACAAAAACAAAAGCAAAACAAGAAACUCAUCCCUUGUAUUGUUGUGCUUGCAGUUGAUAUCCAUCCCUAUUCUGCCUUUUACUGUCAUUUUUCAGAGUUCUCAGAUAGUUGUGUUUUGUAUUCUCUCUCAAGUUUUUAGUGUGAUCAGUGGAAGAAAUAGUCCAUACCUUACACCAUUCUGGCCAGCACUGGAAGCCCAUAUGACAGGGUUUUAUUUAUUUUUUUUUAGAAACAUAGAAUCAUGAGCCCUCUCCCGACCCAGAAUCUCCAUUUUAACAAGAUCUCAGGGCUAGAAUACAAGAAUAAGGCUUACAAAGCUUCUGAAACCUAAGAAGAUUGAUGUAAAGUCCUUCAAUCAAUUCUAAGACACAUAAACAUAUUGUUUAAAUGAAAAGAUAAUUAUCGCAAUUAAGUGGGAAAGGGAACUUAAAACAGUAAAAUAAAAUAUGUCAUACGGAAAUGGUAAAUUAGAUAGAAAAUGAUGCUAACAACAAGGACCUACUGCAUAACACAGAAAACUAUAUUCAAUAUCUCAUAAUAAUAUAUAAUGGAAAAGAAUGUGAAAAAGAACGCAUAAUUGAAUCACUUUGCUGUACACUGGAAACUAAUAUAACUUAAUAAAGAAUAAAGUAAAAUAGAAAUGGGCAAAAGUAAAAUAAAAUGUUUUAAAAAAGAAAGUUAUGGUAGAUAUACUUGAUUAGGUAUUUGUAAAGCCAUAAAAAUAAUCAUCACGUCGACUAUGUAUAGUAACACAAAACUGAUCAGUAACAAGGACCUACUACACAGCUCAGGAAAAGCUGUUCAAUAAUCUGCGAUGGCCCACAUGGGCAAAGAAUCUGAAAAAGAAUGGUUAUAUAUGUAUAUGUAUGGGUGGUUCACUUUGCUGUACACCUGAAGUUAACACGUCAUAAGACACCUAUACUCCAAUAAAAUUUAUUUUUAAAAAAAGGGGAAAAAAAAGACUAUUGAGAAGAUCUUAAUAAUUUUAAAUGAAAAAAGCACAAUUCAAAGUUAAAUAAAACUAGUAUCACAACCCUAUAGAGUAAGCCAAGUACCAUAUUUUAGAAAAUAAUUUAAUCAGAAGAGCAACCAGGAUGUUAAGGGAACUGGAAACUAGAAUGACUGCACUGAAGGAAGAAUUCUAAAUGAGUUGGAUAAUGGACCCCCUUUUGUUUGCCUCCCUAAUACCCAUUUCCCCUUCCCUUCUCAACAGCUAUUUUGGAGAUCUCAUCAGUUGAUUAGACAUAAGCUGAUUAGACAUAGACAUUGUGAAUUCCAUCAAAACUCUUAAGGCAUUAUAGUAUAAAAAUCAAAAUUACUUGGGAUUUCCCAUUCUGGCUCAGGGGGUUAAGAACCCACCAUGGUGUCCAUGAAGAUGUAGGCAUUCGAUCCCUGGCCUCACUCAGUGGGUUAAGGAUACAGCAUUGCUCCAAGCUGUGGCAUAGGUCACAAAUGCAGCUUGGAUCUGGUGUUGCUGUGGCUGUGGCUUGCAGCUGCAGCUCUGAUUCAACUCCUAGCCUGGGAAGUUCCAUAUGUUGUGGUGUGGCCAUAAAAGAGAAAAAAAGAAAAAAAAAAACCCUUAAAAUUACUUAAUUUAUACUGAAAAAUUUAACAAAUAUUCUGAAUAUUGGCAACAGUUUGACCAGCACAUUCUCUCUUUAGUCAAGUCAUGUAGGAUCCCAGGUAAUCAAAAGGUGGCUUGUUAGAUGUGGGUUUAAAGAGGGCCUAAUAAUACCACAUAAUUAAGUAAUAGCAUCUGGCUCAUCUGGAUGGAAACAUUUUCUUCCAUAAUAGGGACAUACCUUAGGGAAGCACCAAGUCUUUUGUCAUUAAGGACUGUAUAUUAUUUUAUCAGCGCUGCCUAUAUGUGUAUUUUUAACUCAUAUUUCCAUGGCUAACCAAACGUCACUUAUUAUAACUUUCUAUAUUAGUGCAUAAAGCUCUUGGUAUCCCUUUUGAAGCUGUUCAGUAUAUUUAAACAAAAUAGUUAAAGUUGGAGGGGAGAGAAGGUAAUCCAUACACACGUUAAUAUCAAAUUGUCAUUUAAUACAUGCUAACAUAGAAUUACUUGCUAAAUUCCUGUGAUAAAGGUCUAUUCCUUAAGUAAGGGCCUACUUACUGACAUUCCAAGUAUGUAAGCCCUCAAUAAUAUAUUGCCUAUGACUUCUAGUUUCAGUUACUUCAAAUCAGAAUGAGAAACUACUACUUGCAAAUCUAGUAAUCGAGGCUAUGCAGAAACCUAAGUUUUCUUAUUUCGACUUCAUUUUUCCUAAUUGUAUAUUUUAGCAAUUCACAUUUACUUCAAGACUUUCUAAAGCACUGUAUUUAAGUUCAUGCACUAAUUUCACCAGUUUAUGAAGUAUUUAAAUCAUAUAUCAUAUAAUGAUAAUAAUUGAAACUCACAAAAAAGAAUGUAGGACAAAACAUAACUAAUAACAUGCCUACAACCCAAUGUUAUGCACACCAGAGUGCAAGUAACUACAGAAUAGAUGGCUAUUAAUGAGUCUGUCUACACCCUGAGAAGAGAGAAUGGACCAAACUAAAGGAUUCACCAAAACAAUGUGGUGAAUUGAUUAGGUAAUGAAACCCUAUUAAGAGAUCUUUUAUUAUAUUUUCAAGCAAAAUACUAACUAGUCUUGAUUUGAAAAUCCCACCUAAUUAGGUCAAUUGGUUAGAAUAUGAUGUUAUUAUGACCAAGCUAGACAUCAGAUCCUUAUGUGUGCCAAUUAGCCUUGCUCCAUGUUCCUAGAUUAAAUCCCUAAAGCCCUACCACCAUCUGGCAACUGCAGUUAGGUCCACCUAAAAGUAUUCUCGUUUUACUUCCUCACCCUGGCACCCUACCAAAUAAAAAAGAGAAACUUCAAAAAUAUUGGCCAACCUUAUCUCAAUGACUGCUAUCUUUAUACAUAAUGAUAAGACCAAAAUAUUCAAGUAAUAUUUUCUGAAAACACAUUAUAACUUUUAAAAAGGAAAAUUACCACUAACAACAGAAACGCCCGGUCUCUGCUGCAAGGGAGUAAGGCAAGCUAUUCCUUCUUAUUACCAAAAUGAAGUUUCCAACAUCCUGACAUUAUAUUCUGAAUCUCCUCCUCAACCUUCCAGUUUUCUAACAGCUCCAAACCUCCGAAAAAAUCUGUAACUGUGAUAAUAACUACCACAAAUGAAUACUUGAUUAAAAUUAGGAAGAGUGGAACAUAAGAGCCUUUGAACAAACCUCAGAUAGAAAGGAAAAAUAUAUCAAAAUAAAGAUUUUUUUUUCUUCUCAACAUAGAGAGGAAAAAAUGAUUUCCAGUUCCUGCUAAUAUUUUAAGCAGAAGAUAGAAGAAUACUUAUUACUGUUAGUUUCUAUAUUCUAUUCCCCAAAUAUUAGGCAGGUCUUCUUAAAAAUGUAUAAUAUUAUAAUGUAAUAAUUAUUUAAAAAUAAAAUUAUAGAAUGGUUAUUUCUAAUAAAUUAUAAGGAAUCUAUAUAUUUUUAUUUCUCUAAGUACUCAAAAUACUUAAACAUACAUUAAUUAUGUGAAUAAUAAUCAUUUGAUAUGUACAUUCCUUCAGCUCCAUCCUCCCAACCUAAAACAGUAAGCCAUCUAACAUUCCAUUUAGAAGACAGAUGGAAUAUACUGAAAUAAAAAAAAAAUUUAAGUAAAAACAUUGAGAAAAAUCAAAAUAAUGUAUAUGUAUUAUGUAUGUGUAUAUGUAGCAUUAGUAGCAUAUAUAUUAUUAGAAAUAUAUAUAUUCCUGAUGUGAUCAAUCAUUAAAUAUUUCAAGGGAUCUGUCAGAAAUUACAUAUUUUACUAAAUUAUGGA